rnacentral:rRNA from 2 species
UAACAAGGAUUCCCCUAGUAACGGCGAGUGAAGCGGGAAGAGCUCAAAUUUAAAAUCUGGCCGGGUUACCGGUCCGAGUUGUAGUUUAAAGAAGUGUUUUCGGCGGCAACCUGGGUACAAGUCCUUUGGAACAGGGCAUCAUAGAGGGUGAGAAUCCCGUCCAUGACUCAGUGGAUGCUGCUAUGUGAUACACUUUCAAAGAGUCGAGUUGUUUGGGAUUGCAGCUCAAAAUGGGUGGUAAAUUUCAUCUAAAGCUAAAUACAGGCGAGAGACCGAUAGCGAACAAGUACCGUGAGGGAAAGAUGAAAAGAACUUUGAAAAGAGAGUUAAACAGUGCGUGAAAUUGUUGAAAGGGAAACGUUUGGCACCAGUCAUGCGUUCAGGAAAUCAGUCUAUCGAGGUGGGGAGCUGCAGAGGUUUGGACCGCAAGGCCAGCUUUUGUUGCAUUUCUGUCUGGAUGGAUGCACUUUUCUGUAUGCAGGUCAACAUCAGUUUUGUUCGCCGGACAAAACCUCAAGAGAAUGUGGCAGCUUUGGCUGUGUUAUAGCUCUGGGGCGAUACGGUGGGUGAGACUGAGGCUUUCAGUGUGUGCUUUCGGGCAAGGCUGACCGGGUGCUGCGGGCCAGUACGAGGUACAAUACAUGUAUUUUGCUUCGUGUCUGGUUUGCACUCGCUCGAAUCGGCUCUUCCACGCUUAGGAUGUUGACAUAAUGGUCU